GACUACCGGGGUAUCUAAUCCUGUUUGCUCCCCACGCUUUCGUAGUUGAGUGUCAGUGCCUGUCCAGGUCGCCGCCUUCGCCUCUGGUGUUCCUCCCGAUCUCUACGCAUUUCACCGCUACACCGGGAAUUCCACGACCCUCUCCAGGACUCUAGUCUCACCGUUUCCGGGGCACUUCUUGAGUUAAGCUCAAGGCUUUCACCCCAGACAAAUGAGACCACCUACCUACCCUUUACGCCCAAUAAUUCCGAGCAACGCUUGCACCCUCCGUAUUACCGCGGCUGCUGGCACGGAGUUAGCCGGUGCUUCCUUUAGCGGUACCGUCACUCCUCAUGGCUAUUCACCAUGAAGACAUUCGUCCCGCUCGACAGAGCUUUACAACCCGAAGGCCUUCUUCACUCACGCGGCGUGGCUGCGUCAGAGUUUCCUCCAUUGCGCAAGAUUCCCCACUGCAGCCCCCCGUAGG
rnacentral:rRNA from 1 species